GUCCCCACUCUUCGUUUCUUCCUUGGCAACUGUACUUGUGUAGAAAAAAAAUCAACUUCCCUUCUCUGCAACUCCAAGGUUUCUCCAUCUCCCUGAUUGGUCACUGGGGUUCUUUUUUUUAAGCUGUGGAGGACGCUUGGUUGUGCUGAACCAUAGGAUUGUUCUGGUGGAUGAAAGCUGGCGGAUUAAGUUUUCGAGGGUGAGAGAUAAUGAUUUCUUGAAGAUUCCAGGGCGUUCGAUGCUGAACGAAAUACUGAUCCCAAUCGUUAUAAAUCUGUUUGGAUCACCAACCUUCACAAUUCUAUUCGAGAUGACCGCUAUUUUUGUUUGGGCCUGCAAAAUUUGGGUAAAGCGACAAUGAAGUGCGAAAAUGAGAUUGGUACAUUGGUGGUCCAAAUUUUAAUGAUAUUACUCAUCCAUGUUUCCAUCCUGAACACCGGAUGGUGCGGCUCCAAGGAAAAAGAUGAAUCAGCAAUGGUCUAGACGUUUCAAAGCUGCUGGAGACGUUUCAAAGCUGCUGGAGAUGCACAAGAAGCAGCAGAAGAGGAAGAGCUGCUGCGAGUAGAUUUUGCGGAGUAGGGAAGGUAGCUUCCUCCUAAAGAAAGUUCACAAGUCUGUGAUUCAAAUAAUAUCACUCCUGGACCUGAAUUUAUGCAUGUUUUUUCAACUCAGACUAAAGAAUGAUCCUGAGUGGAGAUCAGUUAAGGUUGUCUAAUGUUCCUGGUGACAAAAUUAUGUCUUGCAGUUCGCUGGCAAACCACUUUCUGGUUUCGAUCCAAAUACCCUUCUGUACCUGUAUGGUUGGGAUAAAGAUUUGAUUGUGCUGGCAUUGGCUACGUAUGAACUGUAUUUCUUUAUUGUUAGAAGAGAGGAUGUUCGUGGUAAAGAAUUAACGGAAGGUGCUGAACAUAGUGUGGCCAGAAAGGUUUACGUGAGCAUAUAUGGGAAAGUCGAUAGGUGCAGAAUGAUGGACGUAAGGAGUAGCUGGUUAUGAUAGUAGACGUUUUAUUUAAAAAUGUUUGCAAUUUCGGUUUUUUGACAACUUGUUUGUAGAAUGUAUCAUUUUUUAAUGUAACAACACGUCUAAAAUUUUAAUGCAAUACGUUCUUUUA